rnacentral:rRNA from 1 species
GACGAACGCUGGCGGCGUGCCUAAUACAUGCAAGUCGAGCGAAUCAAUAGGAGCUUGCUCCUGUUGAUUAGCGGCGGACGGGUGAGUAACACGUGGGCAACCUGCCUGUAGACUGGGAUAACUUCGGGAAACCGGAGCUAAUACCGGAUAAUUUUUUUCCUCUCAUGAGGAAAAGCUGAAAGUCGGUUUCGGCUGACACUUACAGAUGGGCCCGCGGCGCAUUAGCUAGUUGGUGAGGUAACGGCUCACCAAGGCGACGAUGCGUAGCCGACCUGAGGGGGUGAUCGACCACACUGGGACUGAGACACGGCCCAGACUCCUACGGGAGGCAGCAGUAGGGAAUCUUCCGCAAUGGACGAAAGUCUGACGGAGCAACGCCGCGUGAGCGAUGAAGGCCUUCGGGUCGUAAGGCUCUGUUGUUAGGGAAGAACAAGUAUCGGAGUAACUGCCGGUACCUUGACGGUACCUAACCAGAAAGCCACGGCUAACUACGUGCCAGCCGCCGCGGUAA